UCCCUUCCACAGAAGUAAAGCGGAGGGCUCACUGGAGGUCUGAGGCUGAAUUAAACCCCUCUCCUUCAGCUUCCUGUCACUAAUGGGCUGUUGGUUUCAGUGGGAGAGAGGCUGCACAACACAGGCAGCACUGAAAGCGGCACCCCUUGCUAACAUCGAACACAGAAACCCUGCUGCUUUGUCGUGGUCGACUGCUACGGCAAGAUAAAAAAGAUUUUAUCUUUUUGUGGCUGCACUGUGUCAUUGACCAAUCAGAGGGUCAGCAUCCAUAGCAACAUCUGUCUCUGUCUGCACACCAGGGGUUCGAAUGCGCCGACUGGAGCUAAUCACGAGAGCGGCUCCUGAGGCUUCAGCCCAUUUGUCACUUUGAAGGAAUGCAGCAAAAAACUGUCAAAAUAUGAGACCUAACCCCCUCUGGAGCGCAAGAAAGCCUCGGACAGCGGAAGUCCGGCCUCCCGUGCCCUCGACGUUGCUCUCGCUUGUAUCAGGGCUUUCAAAGGCAGGACCUUUCGAGGCUUUCAGUGACUCCGAAAACCCAGAGUCCUGGUGAGGCCACGGAGACCCGCUGGUCUUUCUUUGGAAGAGUGAUAUUGUUGGAAUUUGAGAACAUGGAGUCACACAGCAAGUGAGUACAAGCUAAAUGCCACCUACUGGAUCCAGAAAGCCUGAGGGACAGGCUGCCACAGAGUACCGGUUCUAUGCGUGACCUUUAGCUCUGUGUCACAGCGACCUGAAAAUCACACAAGACAUGGAUUAGAACUUAUACGGUGGAAGCUGAGCCACGUUUGCUGCUGUAGUUCGGAAGCUUUCAGAAUUUCAUAUUAGAAAGAAAAAGGGAUAGAUUGUUGUGUUAGAAAUCGAUUGGUUUUCUGUUCGUUGUCUGUCAGGAAGCAUUUCACCAAAUCUCUGAAAAUGUAUUUACUUAGAAGAUCGGUGAAUAAUAUACUAUCAAAUUGUCAAGUUAAUGGGAAUUAAUAAAGAGGUGAAGAGCUGAAAAUUGUAACAUUUAAAUAUGUCAAAUUAAAAUUUUUGCAAAUAAUACGUUAAUACCUUUUAAAGUUUAUUUAUAAAUUAAUAUAUAUGUACAGUAAAUGA